GAUGAACGCUGGCGGCGUGCCUAAUACAUGCAAGUCGAGCGAACAGACGAAGAGCUUGCUCCUCUGACGUUAGCGGCGGACGGGUGAGUAACACGUGGAUAACCUACCUAUAAGACUGGGAUAACUUCGGGAAACCGGAGCUAAUACCGGAUAAUAUAUUGAACCGCAUGGUUCAAUAGUGAAGGACGGUUUUGCUGUCACUUCUAGUUGGAUCCGCGCCGCAUUAGCUAGUUGGUAAGGUAACGGCUUACCAAGGCAACGAUGCGUAGCCGACCUGAGAGGGUGAUCGGCCACACUGGAACUGAGACACGGUCCAGACUCCUACGGGAGGCAGCAGUAGGGAAUCUUCCGCAAUGGGCGAAAGCCUGACGGAGCAACGCCGCGUGAGUGAAGAAGGUCUUCGGAUCGUAAAACUCUGUUAUUAGGGAAGAACAAAUGUGUAAGUAACUAUGCACGUCUUGACGGUACCUAAUCAGAAAGCCACGGCUAACUACGUG
rnacentral:rRNA from 1 species